rnacentral:rRNA from 1 species
AUUGAACGCUGGCGGCAGGCCUAACACAUGCAAGUCGAACGGCAGCGGGGGAUAGCUUGCUAUCCUGCCGGCGAGUGGCGGACGGGUGAGUAAUGCAUGGGGAGCUGCCCAGUCGAGGGGGAUAACAACUGGAAACGGUUGCUAAUACCGCAUACGCCCUAAGGGGGAAAGGUGGGGAACUUCGGUCCUACCGCGAUUGGAUGCGCCCACGUGGGAUUAGCUAGUUGGUGAGGUAACGGCUCACCAAGGCGACGAUCUCUAGCUGGUCUGAGAGGAUGACCAGCCACACUGGAACUGAGACACGGUCCAGACUCCUACGGGAGGCAGCAGUGGGGAAUAUUGCACAAUGGGGGAAACCCUGAUGCAGCCAUGCCGCGUGUGUGAAGAAGGCCUUCGGGUUGUAAAGCACUUUCAGUCAGGAGGAAGGGGUGAUGGCUAAUAUCCAUCAUCAUUGACGUUACUGACAGAAGAAGCACCGGCUAACUCCGUGCCAGCAGCCGCCGCAG